ensembl:lncRNA
GUUGGCCACCUGAGUUCUAGCGCCAUUUUGCUCCUAACUGCCUAUGUGGCUUUGAACAGUUUCCUGUGUCUCAGUUCCCUUAUUAAUAAAACUUGUUCUUAAGUAUUGGAGGGUUACUAAGCUCUUUGCAGAUCUGAUGAAAAGCCACGGCCCUCAUCACAGAAACAUUCCAAUGUGCCUAAGAUGUUGCGCAUCAUUUCAGAGUGUUCACAGUUAAGCCCUGGAGUUCAGGUGAUUCUGCAGCUUCCUUUCAGCUCUGACAUUCUAUCUUUCUAUGAUUCUAUCACGAGGGAACGCACACCACUAACCUCCCUCUCUCCCUCCUCCACAAAAGACCACUUCCCCGGGGCUACACUAGGCCAAAUGAGAGAGAAUUUCCAGCCUUCUCCCAAGUCUGUGCGCAGGAAUCCCAAGUCUGUGCGCAGGAAUCACGACUAUUCAUCCCAAGAGGCACUGUGUUUGUGGUUCUUUCUUUUUUCUGUGAAGUUAAUUUUUGUUUGAGAUGAAUGCAAAACAGUAAAGAAAGAAAGACUGGAGGAGUGGGAGAGAGACCUAUUACAUUAAAAAAUAGUCAGAAUACAAUCAGGUGUCGGAUUCUAACGUGAGGAGGACCCAGAAGGGGAUGGUAGGGGAUGGCGUGGUGUGGGGAGCCAAGGGCAGCCCCAUCUCCUCACUUCCCUUCACCUCUGGCCUUAGGGAUGUGCCUGGGACAGUGGCGAGGUGCCAUCAGCAAAUGUGCCCAGCAAAACCUGGAGGCGAGCUGGCCUUUUCAAAAGCAUCCACUUCCCAGUUUUCUGGGGCUUGAUCUGCCCAGCAGAUCCUGUUCACAGAGCCCAGGGCAGACUCGGCCCAUCCUGGGAAAACAGAUGAACACAAUGGCCUUAUCUCUGCCUAUAAGGUUGUAUCAUUCUUUCCCAGAAGCCAGCAAUAGAUGAACAAUUCAAUUGUGGGGGCGGGGGGAAAAAUAAAAAAGCGUCCCAUGUGGCAUGGAGCCUGGGGGUCACCCUGCUUGUUUUCACUUUCAUGAAGUUGACAUCACUUAAUCGUCUGCAGGGUUGUUUCCUUGCCUUUGGUAUGGAUGAAAUGUUAUUUUACCCUAGAGAUAAGUAAUGGCGGCCACCAUUUCCUGUGCCCAAAUGCAUUACAUGUGCUGUCACUAAUCAUGGAACGUAAAAGAUAUUUUCACUCCAUAGAUGAGAAAAUUGCCAGCGUGAUUAUCUCCAUGCUACAGACGAGGAACCCAGGGCUGGGCCAGGUUAAAUAACUUGCCCCGAAUCACACAACUAAUGGGAGCCAGAGCUAGGAUUAAAGCCCAGACUUACUGAACUUUUCCUUUCUUCCCGCUAGCCCAGAACCUCCCAAACUUGUGUGCAUAUUCGGAUUCCCUGGGGAUCUUUAAAACUCCCAAUGCCCAGGGCACACCCUAGAAAUCACCAUCUUUGGAGAAGGGAUAGAGGUGUCAGUUUUUGAAGCUUCCCAGGUGAUUCUAACGUGCAGGCAGGUUUGGGAACCACCGUGUUAGCGCCUGGAAGCAUCUCCAGCUGCAAGCGUUUACUGAUGAACCCAAGUGCGAAUCAUGAGCAAGGAAUGAAAACGAAGACGACUGAAGACUGAGCUCAGAGUGGCUGAAAAGACACACCUGAAUAAGGGAAUCUGCUUUCUCUAAGGGCAAUGGGAGAAAUUGGGAAGAUUAGCCCUGAGCUAACAUCUGCUGCCAAUCCUCCUCUUUUUGCUGAGGAAGACUGGCCCUGAGCUAACAUCCGUGCCCACCUUCCUCUACUUUAUAUGUGGGACGCCUACCACAGCAUGGCUUGCCAAGCGGUGCCAUGUCCACACCCGGGAUCCGAACCGGGAACCCCAGGCUGCCAAAGCGGAACGUGCGCACUUAACCGCUGCGCCACCGGGCCAGCCCUCCUCACUAGCUUUUGCUUUUUCCUGUCAGUAAUGAAAGGAAAGGAACGAUGUAAUGAGAAAGAGGGAGGUGCCCAGUGAAUAACUGUUUGCUGUGGCUCUUUUCUUAGCUUGCUUGAGAUCGUGGAGGGGAACUUUUAAAGAUCAAGGCAACUCUUCAGGAAGGGACUUUUAAGAUGAUAUAAGAUAAAAAUUUGGCUCAGCCUUCAUAAAGCUUUUUUUGCAAAUCCUUUGAAUAGCAAUUGCUUCUACUCAAUAACAAUCUUCUCAGCCAUGAUCACCCAGGCUUCUCAUCUACCACCUGGGUAUCUGCUACUGGUAAUAACAGGACAUGAAGGUUGGAAGGAAAUACCUGGAAGGCUCUAUCGAACCCUGGAUUUUCUCAAAGCUGCAUUUUUGUUUUUAAACGAAAGCUUAAGACUUUCAGCGUUUGAGAGUGUCCAAGGAGAUGACUAACAAUAAUGGAUUAAAGCCACCAGUCAAGAACUACACAGUCUAUGCACAUUGUGUUCAAGAAAAAAAGCCUUGGUUUACUAAAGCGAUACUUCUAGUAAUCUGUAGUUCCAACACAAUAUGACUUUUCCCCCUGAAGGGUUUCCUUGCAAUCUGUCCUUUCCAUCACUGGUACCGGAUGAUGCUACAGAUGGAGCUUGUUGCCAUUUAUAUUCCAAUCAAUUCUGGUCCUGUGGAAGUGCAUAUCUAUCACAGAUGCAAUACUGUUCAUCUGAGUGGAUCCUCAAAAAGAACAAUUAUGAACUAGAAACUCAUAGAGUUUGUGUUUCAAAUUUAUAAAAUUAAACCUGCUCCAACAGGUAAUACAGGGAGGCAUGCUUGCAACCUCUGGAUUCAAUCAGAAACAAUUUCUGAGAGCACAGAGCCUUCUCAAUAGGUAUCGGUGGGUUCCUUUUAAUGCUUCCUUAAACAAGAUCCGAUGUGAUGCACAUUAGAACUUUGAAGCAGGUCUCAUUUAUUUCUACAAGGCCUGGGACACAGGAAGCUGCCAGAACUUCAUUCAUCAUCUUGCCUGUUGA